ACGGCUCAGUAACACGUGGCUAAUCUGCCCUUGGGACCGGAACACCCCCGGGAAACUGGGGCUAAUUCUCGAUAGGUGAAGAACUCUGGAAUGAGUCUUUGCUAAAAAGACGCUUGCGUUAUGCUCGUAAGCGUCGCCCAAGGAUGAGGCCGCGACCGAUCAGGUUGUUGGUGAGGUAAUGGCUCACCAAGCCUUUUACCGGUGCGGGCCGUGAGAGCGGGAGCCCGGAGAUGGGCACUGAGACAAGGGCCCAGGCCCUACGGGGCGCAGCAGUCGCGAAAACUUUGCAAUACACGAAAGUGUGACAGGGCUAUCCCGAGUGCCAUCCGCUGAGGAAGGCUUUUACCCAGUCUAGAACGCUGGGGGAAUAAGGAGAGGGCAAGUCUGGUGUCAGCCGCCGCGGUAAUACCAGCUCUCCGAGUGGUGUGGAUGUUUAUUGGGCCUAAAGCAUCCGUAGCUGGCUAGGUUAGUCCCCUGUUAAAUCCACCGAAUUAAUCGUUGGAUUGCGGGGGAUACUGCUUGGCUAGGGGACGAGAGAGGCAGACGGUAUUUCCGGGGUAGGGGUGAAAUCCUAUAAUCCCGGGAAGACCACCAGUGGCGAAGGCUGUCUGCUAGAACGCGCCCGACGGUGAGGGAUGAAAGCUGGGGGAGCGAACCGGAUUAGAUACCCGGGUAGUCCCAGCUGUAAACGAUGCAGACUAGGUGUUUGAACGGCCACGUGCCGUUCUAGUGCCGCAGGGAAGCUGUUAAGCCUGCCGCCUGGGGAGUACGAUCGCAAGAUUGAAACUUAAAGGAAUUGGCGGGGGAGCAC
rnacentral:rRNA from 1 species